UACGAAGGGUGCAAGCGUUACUCGGAAUUACUGGGCGUAAAGCGUGCGUAGGUGGUGAGUUAAGUCUGUCGUGAAAGCCCCGGGCUCAACCUGGGAAUGGCGAUGGAUACUGGCUCGCUAGAGUGCGGUAGAGGAGAGUGGAAUUCCCGGUGUAGCAGUGAAAUGCGUAGAGAUCGGGAGGAACAUCAGUUGCGAAGGCGGCUCUCUGGACCGGCAUUGACGGCUGAGGAGCGAAAGCCAGGGGAGCAAACGGGG
rnacentral:rRNA from 1 species